rnacentral:ncRNA from 1 species
UAAACAAUUUUGACGGAGAUAAAUUUUACUUUUUGGAAUCUAAAGAGAGCUGAUGGAUGGUGCAAAUCAGUGAUUUCUAUUGUAGAGUAGCACUCUUGAAUUGGUGAACUGAACAAUUAUAGUAGGUUCAUUCGUGUCAUGCGCGUUAAGCAUUUUAACUAAGAUGCUGCAUUAUGCAGUAAAUUUGGGUGGUACCGCGUGAGUUUAUACAAGCUCUUCGCCCCUUAC